CUUUUUUUUCCUUUUUUUUUUUUUUUUUUUUGAGCUCACUGCAAUCUCAGCUCACCGCAACCUCUGCCUCCCAGGUUCAAGCGAUUCUUCUGCCUCAGCCUCCCAAGUAGCUGGAAUUACAGGCGUGUACCACCACGUCAGGCUAAUUUUUGUAUUUUUAGUAGAGAUGGGGUUUCACCAUGUUGGUCAGGCUGGUCUCAAAAUCCUGACCUCAGGUGAUCCACCCACCUCAGCCUUCCAGAGUGCUGGGAUUAUAGGCAUGAGCCACUGUGCCCAGCCUUCGACAACCAUUCUUUGCUCACCCUUUGAGUGACAAAAUCAGUCCUUGGGGGGAUAAAUCUGGAAGAGCAGCCCAUUUAAGGCUCUGGAAGUAAAACUGGCCAUUUGGGCAGAGAAUUACAGCACCCUGGGUGUCUGGAGCACGGUCUAGACAGGGAGUCAAGGACUUCUGUUCCAAAGGGGAGAGUGUGGCUGAAGGAGGGUCAGAUCAUGUCCCUCUGCGGUUGGUACUGCCUAUGGCCUUUCUUCCUCCCCAUACAUUCAAUCCACACCCCUCCCUUAGGCUCCCUUUGUGCCUGCCCAAGGGACACCACUGGGGAAUAGUGUGUAUACAAAACAGCUGCCAAAUAUAUGUUGCCAAAGCUUCUAAAGCAGGAAGGAGGGAGAAUAUGGAUUCCUCACCUCACCUUCCAUAUGGCCCCCGGCCACUCCACUCACACUUGAGACUGCCGCAAACCCUGCUUCUCCUCAGUUUCUCAUGUAUCUGACUUCCCCUCUUCUCCCAGCCCCUCACUCUACCUUUGCCUGCUCCCCUGCUGUCAUUCUGUGCUUGUUGCCGCAUCCUAAGGCCCUCCACCUGGAGCCAUUCCUGGAUCAUCCUGGAGCCCCUGUCACAUACCUUAGAGCCCAAACUGCUUCUCUUGGAGAGAAGCUGUCAACUGUGUGUCCAGUUCACACAGGACUGGGAACUAUUUGGGCCCUGAGGAUGGUGAUAUUUUGAGCUCAAACUAUUCCCUCUGGCAGGGAGCCUGGCAGAUUUCUAGGGAGGUGCCUCCUCCCCACUUCGCAGUGACAGGGAGGCGGCUUUUGUAGUCAGGCCAUCUGCCUUCUCUGUCUCCCCACCUCCCACCAGCAGCCCUUUCUCUAGGCUUGGCAAGGUUUCCCCAAAGGCUGGACUCCUAUGUACAAGGGCUCCCUUAGUUCUGGGCAAGGACCAUUUUUAAUUUAUCCCUUUUGACCUCCCUGCCUCUCCAGUCUGUAAACAUCAGAGGCAACCUUUCCUAUACCACCUCUUCCUUCCACACCACAAUAUCUUCCUAGGGACCCCCUUGGGCUCUCUGGCUCACUGCAAGCACAGGACUCCAUGAUAAUCCUCCAAAGGGUGAAGAGAGAUGCUAACAUUUCCUUUGGGUGUACGAAUAAAUAGCCCCCCAGCCAGGCGCAGUAGCUCACGCCUGUAAUCCCAGCACUUAGGGAGGCCAAGGCAGGCAGAUCACCUGGGGUUGGGAGUUCAAGACCAGCCUGACCAACAUGGAGAAACUGUAUCUACUAAAAAUACAAAAUUAGCCGGGCAUGGUGGCGCAUGCCUGUAAUCCCAGCUGCUCGGGAGGUGGAGGUAGGAGAAUUGCUUGAACCCAGGAGGUAGGAGAAUUGCUUGAACUCAGGAGGCAGAAGUUGCUGUAAGCCGAGAUUGCACCAUUGCACUCCAACCUGGGCAACAAGAGCGAAAUUCUGUCUUAAAAAAAAAAAAAAAAAUAGCCCCCCCAGCCCAUCUCAAAGCCCCGUUCUACUUACCCCACUUUCUUUUGCUGUUCAUUUCCUCUCAACAGGGACAGGGGCUGAGCUCCCACCUCUGCCCUCCUAGUCCCGAGCCCCAACCUCUUUCUUCAUCUUGUUGGCUACCUUGGCUAAAGAGAGAAGAGGGGCAGGUGGAAGUCAACCAGUCAGAGUGACAUGGCAACCCUGGAGAAGUGUCAGAAAAGCAGCUAGGCCAGAGUGGGGUAAGAGGUGGCGAGGAACAGGGUUCUGGGUACCCAAGGGGAAGGGAACAUUCCUUAUCUAUCUAGGCUAGAAAACAGUAUAAAGAAAAGUGGCAAGAGUCCAGACCCAAAAACCCAGAAACACCGAAAUCGUUGGUAAGCAUACAAGGCACAGAGGGUGUCAGCUUCCCUUCUCUCUAUAGGGAAACUGAGUCAUUCCUUUUCCUUAAGUGGAACAUUUUCCUCUGGAAGCUUGCCUGGGUCCCCCCACUAUGGGCAGCAGGUGGAUGGGAAAAGAAAGUCAGUCACUCCCACACACUUAUACACAGCUGGCUCCAAACCAGUUUCCUCCUCAUACCA
ensembl:lncRNA